AAAAUUCAUUCGUAUCUAUUAUGUUAAUCAUCGUUUCAAGGGAAUAUCAUUUUCUGUCUUAUCGUUUUCGAACAAAUAUAACACAGUAUAUUACAUAGAGAUUCUUGCUCUAACUGUGUGACCGACGCAUGAUCGAUGAUACCUCUUGUCGUGUCGUCUUACUUGUUAGAAGAGUCAUCUUGACUUCUACUCCCGUAUUCUCUACUUCAACCAACCAUCUUCUUCCUCAGCCAACGCGCAAUAUAAUUCCAACGGCCACAGAAACGGAUGACCGCUCCUAGAAAAUAAGCGACGUGCUACAUGGGAGCUCGUUACUUCGAGAAAGACACUCUUGCCUCCUUUCACCCUCGAACUAUCCAGGAACGCUUUUGUGCGAAUGCUUCUGACUCGAGAUAUAAAGAACUGCCGCUGGAAGGGGCCAUGCUUGUCUCAACAGACUUCGUCUUUAGAUUUAUAACUCUACGAGAAAUCGAUCCCAACGAAGUUCGUUUCAUCGAACAAAGUUACAGUCGAUAUCUAUAUCCGUCUAUAUAAAAUAUGAUAUAGAAAUCGGGAUACCACGAGGAAUUAAAAAAACAAGGAUAAGUUUAAAUGAAACAAGUAUUGCGAUCAUUCGUUAAGAAUCGCGAUCGUGGUUAAUGAAAGUGUAAUGAAUCGUAGCCGAUUUCCGUUCGCGAAAUCCUCUUGUAAUGGCACGGCAGGGAGCAACAACAAGUUUUAUAGCAAAAUCAUUCGUCGUUAUGAGUUCCUCUCGAUGGGACGUCGUACACUUCCUUUCUUCUUCUUCUUAGGACGAUACCAAGUGCGCAGCUGUUAGGACGAUACCUUUGGAAUUUCUUUGAGAGCACUGAUUAAUGAUCGAUGAUGGUUGAGAUGGAUGCUAUUAGGCAUUGUUCCUCUUGCUCACCGAGGGAGCAACCCCGUUGUCGAGAGCGUUCCAAUUAACUGAUCUCGAGCAUUGUGUACCGCUAUAUCAGAUACCACUGUCUCUUUCGAACAAACACGUAGACAUUUA